GUAAAGAUUAGCUCAAUCGGCAAAGCAUGAGACUCUUAAUAUCAGGGGUGUGGGUUUGAGCCCUGCAUCGGGCA